rnacentral:rRNA from 1 species
UACGGAGGGUGCAAGCGUUAUCCGGAUUCACUGGGUUUAAAGGGUGCGUAGGCGGGCAGGUAAGUCCGUGGUGAAAUCUCUGAGCUUAACUCAGAAACUGCCAUGGAUACUAUUUGUCUUGAAUAUUGUGGAGGUGAGCGGAAUAUGUCAUGUAGCGGUGAAAUGCUUAGAUAUGACAUAGAACACCAAUUGCGAAGGCAGCUCACUACUCAAUCAUUGACUCUGAGGCACGAAAGCGUGGGGAUCAAACAGG